GGGCGGAGGUCUGGAAUCAGAAGUGGUCCGUGAAAUGUUUAACCUUUGAAAGGGGUCUGGGUUGGUUUUUGCCUCAUUCCUCAUAGAGAGGGAGUGAAGAAUGCAUGAAAGAGAUGAUACAGUAUGAAGUAGAGAUAGUCCCCACUUUUUCGACGCAGGAUUCUCACAGGAAUGAGGCAAAAAUACAACCAACCCGACUGUGCAUGCUUAGCAGUAAUAUUAAUAUGAAUAAAACCAGGUUGUUUCCAAGCCAAAGAACAAUGGGGUGAUGUCACCGCAACAAUGUCCCCUUUAGUUGUCCAGUGGGACAAUCGUGCGACUGUCGAAGCCCCCCCCACCCCCUUUGCACCCCGCCCUCCACAUAGGCAGCGGCCACCUACGGGCCCCUCUGUCCAUUCACGGCGACCCAAGAGUGGUAUGCGGCCUCGCCAGGCCCACGUCCAGCAGCUCAACGGAGGCAUUAUCGCGCUCUCGGCGCUUAGCAUUCCGGUGCGCUCGGCGUCCAUGUUACUUGCAAAACGGGCGUGCGUGCCGCAGGAGCGUGCCAUGCCCAGCGCCGAGUGAGCCCUUUGAGAAGCGCCGCUGGAAACCCGUCCCGGGCGGAGACGCCUAGCUCGGCCCCCAUGGGCAACACCAGCUUCACCGAGGGCAAGACGGCCCUGACGCUGGGCAACACCAGCAUCAAGCGGGGCAAGUCCAAGCUGGCCCUGGGGAACACCUCCAUCUCCAGGGGCAAGAGCACCACCUCCAUGGGCUCCUCCACCAUCACCAGUGGGAAGACCAAGAUCUCCCUGGGGGGCGCCUCCUUCAGCAGAGGGACCACCACCACCUCCUUCCGGAAAGCCAUCUUCCCCAAACGCAAGACGCUCUAGGUGAGGAGGGGGGGGACCUCACCUGGGCGUGGACCGAAACAGAACAUCUGCAACUGCUCUUCUCUUUUUUUGGAUUAAUUUCACUUCUGGUUAGGUUUGACUUUUAAGGGCCAGGCAGGACUCGCCGGUCAAACAGUCAAAUUAGCAGCAGAUGACGACGCAGCAGAGGAGACGUCCAAGUGCGGAGAUAAAGAGAGAGAGAGACAGAAUAAAUAAAGAGAGAGAAUAAAUGUCUGAUGAAUAAUUCAGGGAGGAUACUUUGGGUGGAAGCCAUAUUGAAAGUGAAACUUCAGUCGGGCGUGUCUCCCAUCCUUCCUUCAAUCUUGCCCAUGGAUGCUUAGCAAGUGUUUGAAGGUCCGAGGACGUGUAGCUGCUCGGAUUGAGAACUAUUUUGAACGCGCUUCAAAUUCUUGUGAAAGCGGAAGAAUGUGAACAUUGAAGUUUCCCAUUGGCCGCAAAUAUUUACCAUUGAAACUGUUUUAGUGCUGUCAUUUCCCCUCCGGUCCUCACGGGGGCGCUGAGAGGAGCAACAAAGAAGAAGAGUCGCCCUAUUUUUGGAAAAUCUUUUUUUUUGUCCAUAUUUGACAGUUUUGUUUUCAUCCUCAAGCAUGUUCUCGCCUCCUCAGAGUCUCACAGUUCUUGUUUUUUUUCUCCCCCCUGAUAGGUCCACGUCGACACAGUUCCUGCCCCAAUCCCCUGACGCCACGCCAGAGAAAACAAACACUAAACAAACAACAGGAGGCCUCGAUCAAGAAAUUGUCCAAAAAUCCAUUCAGUGAGACAGCUUGUUGCUAGCGGCAACAGCAGAUUAGACUGUGCAUGAGAAAUAAGAGGAUGUCGCUAGGCUGCCUGCUCUUCUUCUUCUUGCUCUACUUUUGACGCUUCCUGGUUUUUGAUGAUGUCACAAUAUCUUCAUCGUGGUUUUUCGAGCCUUAAUGAAGACAAAGUCCACUGUCCCCUGCGUUGUACCCCAACAAAUCCAAUAGGCCCAGGACUAAAGAGUGGUACUCAGUACGGGCGUGAAUCUUCCAUCCGAUUCCGAUUCCUGUAGUGACAAUUCCAUUCAGAAUCGAUUCAACACAAUUUUUAAUUUAAAGAAAUUCUCCCAAUGUAGAAGUUGGAAUUGUUAUUUGAAAAAAAUCCAAUUGUAUUAAUUUUCUAAAAUAUGUAUUUAUAUUUUCAUUAAUUGACAAUUUAUUAUAAUUAUUAUUUUAUUUUUAUUUUUGUAUUAUGAAUCGAUUUAGAAUCGGGAUGAAUAAGAAAAAAGAAUUGUGAUUUGGAGGUAAGUCGAUUUUUUUGCAUGGAGCUAGCCUAAAAACGUCAUUUUAAAAACAAAAAAAUGUUUAGUCCUUUUUGAAAGUUUUUUUUUUUUUUUUUAAUGACAUUUUUUUUUGUUGUUUUAACAUUAUGAAUUGAUUAUGAAUCAGAAUGAAUAAGAAUUGAGAUUUGGACGUGGGUCGAUUUUUUGCAUGGAGAUAGCCUAAAAACAUCAUUUUAAAAACAAAAAACCUAUAGUCCUUUUUAAGUUUUUUUUUUUUUUUUUUAUAUAUAAAAAAAUAUUUUUUCGAUUUUUUAAUCAAUUUAGAAUCGGGAUGAAUAAGAAAUAAGAAUUGUGAUUUGGAUGUGAAUCGACUAUUUAGCAUCGAGCUGGCCUAAAAACGUCAUUUUAAAAAUUGAUUCCGACAAAACAGAGAAAAGACAAAACAUUUUUUUUUUUUUUAUUAAUUUCAAAUAAAUUACAAUUUAUUUAAAUUAUUUUUAUUUUAUGUAAAUGUAUUUUGAAUCAGCACGAAUAAGAAUCGGGAUUCGGACGUGAAUUGACUUUUUGUGCACGCCAAAUGCUAAAAGGAGCUCCAUUUUGCAUGAAUUGUGUUACAUUAGUCCUCGCCCCUUCCUGCUCUGUCACUGAUAAGAACAUUAUGGCAAAUUUUCCUAAAUUAUUUGUUAUUUUGCAAUAUAAAUAUAUUUUAUCGAACAAUUUAUUCAUGACUUUUAGUACCAAACAUGCAUCAAAUUAAAUUAAAGUUUGAUUUAAAAAAAAUAAUCAUAAAAUUCAUAAGAUUAUUUGGAUAUUUACUGAGAAAUUUCAAUUAUUGCAAUUCAAAUAUUCACAGAAGUGUGCUGAAGUUGCAAAUCCCAGUCACAUCUGUGCCCCAAAUUCUGUCAAUACUUACAUAACGUAUGUCAUGUAAGAAAAAAAGACCCUCCAAAAGGUGCCCCACAAACACGGUUGUUAAAGUUAAUAUGCAUGUUAAAGAGAGAGCAGGUAUUGUAAGUGUUAGGUUUCACGAAUAAUAAUCAUAAUAAUCAUAAAAAAACUGUGCUUGGUGCAUUAAUCCACCGCUAACGUCCGCUAAGCUAGCACGGCAGCUUGAGGCCUGAGAAAGUAGGCCGCACCCCCGAGUCCUGCACCAUCAAGACCACAGCCAAUCCAGGACCCUCGCCGCCAUUUACCACUCGACACGGAUGGCGGGGCCGCCCUCCUCUCUCAGAAACCUCACGACUGUCGCUCAUUAGUGGGAGUGCAAAGAAGCGCAGUAAUCCAAUACUGAUGGAAACGUGUGCGUGCUUUUGUUUGCGUCUCUGUCCUUGUCGGCUUUCUCCGUCCUUAAAACGCUCUAAAAAGGUCUCUCAGGUCCGUCUGUGUCAGCGCCGCUAAUCUCGGUCUUUAUUUUCUUUCUGCACCAUGUGACUUUGCGUGUGCCUCGCUGUUUGUAGCGCGAAAACUAAGCAGGAACGUUGGAACGUACUGGAAUAAAAGCUCUUGAUGGUGUGUCUA